UAAGGGAUAUUGCGACAAUGGGCGAAAGCCUGACGCAGCAACGCCGCGUGGAGGAUGACGGCCUUCGGGUUGUAAACUCCUUUUACCGGGGAAGAGGAAGGACGGUACCCGGUGAAGAAGUCUCGGCUAACUACGUGCCAGCAGCCGCGGUAAAACGUAGGAGGCGAGCGUUAUCCGGAUUUACUGGGUGUAAAGCGCGAGCAGGCGGUCGGGUAAGUUGUGUGUGAAAGCGCUCUGGCUCAACCGGGCGAGGACACGCAAAACUGCCGGACUGGAGGUAGGUAGAGGCGAGUGGAAUUCCGGGUGUAGUGGUGAAAUGCGUAGAGAUCCGGAGGAACACCAGUGGCGAAGGCGACUCGCUGGGCCUAAACUGACGCUCAGACGCGAAAGCAUGGGGAGCGAACGGGAUUAGAAACCCCGGUAGUCCAUGCUGUAAACGAUGUGGACUAGGUGUGGCCCUCUCGAAGGGCUGUGCCGCAACCAACGCGAUAAGUCCACCACCUGGGGACUACGGCCGCAAGGUUAA
rnacentral:rRNA from 1 species